rnacentral:rRNA from 1 species
GAUGAACGCUGGCGGCGUGCCUAAUACAUGCAAGUCGAGCGAACAGACGAGGAGCUUGCUCCUCUGACGUUAGCGGCGGACGGGUGAGUAACACGUGGAUAACCUACCUAUAAGACUGGGAUAACUUCGGGAAACCGGAGCUAAUACCGGAUAAUAUAUUGAACCGCAUGGUUCAAUAGUGAAAGACGGCUUUGCUGUCACUUAUAGAUGGAUCCGCGCCGCAUUAGCUAGUUGGUAAGGUCACGGCUUACCAAGGCGACGAUGCGUAGCCGACCUGAGAGGGUGAUCGGCCACACUGGAACUGAGACACGGUCCAGACUCCUACGGGAGGCAGCAGUAGGGAAUCUUCCGCAAUGGGCGAAAGCCUGACGGAGCAACGCCGCGUGAGUGAUGAAGGUCUUCGGAUCGUAAAACUCUGUUAUUAGGGAAGAACAAAUGUGUAAGUAACUAUGCACGUCUUGACGGUACCUAAUCAGAAAGCCACGGCUAACUACGUG